rnacentral:misc_RNA from 1 species
AAAGUCGUAACAAGGUUUCCGUAGGUGAACCUGCGGAAGGAUCAUUACUGAAUAAACUUGAUAAGUUGUUUGCUGGCUCGUAAGGGCAUGUGCACACUUGUCAUAUUUAUCUUUCCACCAUGUGCACUAUGCAUAGGUUCUGAUUAAAAUGUGAUCAAGGGCAACCUUGGUUAUUGGAAACUGCUGUUGGCAACAACAGCUUUUUCUGUCUUCAGUUCCUAUGACUUAUAAAUACACCAAGUAUGUUAAAGAACGUUUAAAUGGGCUCUUGUAGCCUAUAUAUUUUAAUACAACUUUCAGCAACGGAUCUCUUGGCUCUC